CGGGCAGAUAACGUCGGUGGUCCAGUCGUGAAGACCCGAUGGGGCUCCGCAUCGGCAGUAAAACGGGUCAGGAUAGGUGAAUUGUAGCCCAGGAGACACUUCAGCUGGCUAGCUCAGGAAUAGCCCAGGAGUGGCUGACGGAACUCUUCAGCUGGCUAGCUGGCUAGCUCCGUAAUAAUGUGUGUUAAUUCCGUGACCGACGUUGCCAAUAGUCACUCAGGUAGCAGAUAGUUAGCUGCAAGAUCCAGGUGUAAAUGUCCAGAGCCUGCGGUAGAAAUCGGGGAAAGGAGAGAGAAUAGGUCCGGUAUGCUCUGGUCUGAGUCGCGCUGUACAAAAACUGGCGAUAGCUUUUCGAGCUAAUGGAUAGCUGAGGACAGCUAACCGUGGCUAGCUGAACUUCAACGUUAGCCAGUGAAAAUGGCUAACCUCUUGCUAGCUUCUGUUGUGGAAUUCAGAUGAGGUAAAUAAUACUUUCUUUUUUAAAUUGGUGAGGCGGGUUGCAGGAGAGUGCUUUGAGGUUGAGUUUUUAGAAUAAAAAAAAUAUAUAUAAAAAUGUAAGUGAAAAAAAAUAAAUAAAAAAAUAUGUAAAUAUAUAUAUACACGGGACACGACAAGAGGAGGGUAGAGGACGUCUGAACUGCUACGCCAUCUUGGGAAAAAAAUAUAUAUAUAGUGCACUACGGUUUGACCAGGGGCCUUAUGAGUUCUGGUCUAAAGUAGUGCACUGUAAAUGGAAUAGGACGCCACUUGGGAUGUCACCUUGAAAGUUGGGUGGCUGAGUCACGAACAAGGGCCAGUUCGCCACAGUCCGCGAGACAUAUUACUUAUUUUCAUGUAAAUGCGUUUUAUAAUCUCUGGAUAGCGUUUCCUCGUGUCAGAAAAAGAAGAGAAACAUAUCAGGAUUACUUUGGUUAGGAAAGGGGGGGAGAAAAUGGCCUCUUUCUGUUGUGAAUUAAAUAGAUCGCCUCUCUGAUGACAACUCAGUCAUGUAUUAUAAAGACAAACACUGAAAGACUUUGACUGCAUCUCAAAUGGUACUCUAUUCCUUAUAUAGUACACUACUAUUGACCAGGCUGGCACCCUAUUCCCUAUAUAGUGCACUACGUUUGACCAGGGUGGUACCCUAUUCCCUAUAUAGUGCACUAGGUUUGACCAGGGUGGCACCCUAUUCCCUAUAUAGUACACUACUGUUGACCAGGCUGGCACCCUAUUCCCUUAUAUCUUCUAGAACAGGGGGUGUGAAUAUCUUCUGGAACAGGGGGAGUGAAUAUCUUCUGGAACAGGGGGAGUGAAUAUCUUCUGGAACAGGGGGAGUGAAUAUCUUCUGGAACAGGGGGAGUGAAUAUCUUCUGGAACAGGGGGUGUGAAUAUCUUCUGGAACAGGGGGAGUGAAUAUCUUCUGGAACAGGGGGAGUGAAUAUCUUCUGGAAUAAGAGUGAAUAUCUUCUGGAACAGGGGGAGUGAAUAUCUUCUGGAAUAAGAGUGAAUAUCUUCUGGAACAGGGGGAGUGAAUAUCUUCUGGAAUAAGAGUGAAUAUCUUCUGGAAUAAGAGUGAAUAUCUUCUGGAACAGGGGGUGUGAAUAUCUUCUGGAAUAAGAGUGAAUAUCUUCUGGAACAGGGGGAGUGAAUAUCUUCUGGAAUAAGAGUGAAUAUCUUCUGGAAUAAGAGUGAAUAUCUUCUGGAACAGGGGGAGUGAAUAUCUUCUGGAACAGGGGGAGUGAAUAUCUUCUGGAACAGGGGGUGUGAAUAUCUUCUGGAAUAAGAGUGAAUAUCUUCUGGAACUGGGGGAGUGAAUAUCUUCUGGAACUGGGGGAGUGAAUAUCUUCUGGAACUGGGGGAGUGAAUAUCUUCUGGAACAGGGGGAGUGAAUAUCUUCUGGAACUGGGGGAGUGAAUAUCUUCUGGAACAGGGGGAGUGAAUAUCUUCUGGAAUAAGAGUGAAUAUCUUCUGGAACAGGGGGAGUGAAUAUCUUCUGGAACAGGGGGAGUGAAUAUCUUCUGGAACUGGGGGAGUGAAUAUCUUCUGGAACUGGGGAAGUGAAUAUCUUCUGGAACAGGGGGAGUGAAUAUCUUCUGGAACAGGGGGUGUGAAUAUCUUCUGGAACAGGGGGAGUGAAUAUCUUCUGGAACAGGGGGAGUGAAUAUCUUCUGGAACAGGGGGAGUGAAUAUCUUCUGGAACUGGGGGAGUGAAUAUCUUGUUUUUCACUAUGUUCUUUGUACUAAACUAAUUAUCUUGUCAAGGCGGUUAUAAAACCAUGUAUCUUUUGGUGGCUACUUUGGAACAAAUCAAAUCACUCAUCUACAACUUGAAUUAAGUAAAUGGACUCCAAAACUGUGUUUACACAAAGAGCAUCAGUCGUCGUUGUGACGGCAGCUUUAGAGACGAAGAGUCUCUUCGGAGAGGAAGAGGGCUAAAACGGAAUAACAUGUAGUAGCGUGUGAAAAUGUUUAAUUAUGAAUUCUGGUUGAAAAAAAAAAAAAACGUUGCAGUUACAAAAUAGAGUAUUAAUAUGAUUUUUUUCUAGUUCUUUUUACUGUUUAUUUCCCUCCCAGUGGUGUUGAUGGGUUACGCAGCACUACAGACAAUAAAACAAUUAAACACCAUCCUUCCUAUCUUCCUGUUAGAUAAUGAUCAUGAGGUGGAUGUGGGAAAUAGGUCAAGAACGAAGAACUAGGCUGCUCCUCUUCCUGCUUCUCUUCCUGCUGCUCUUCCUUCACCAUGCUCUAACCCUGACACAUGCAGUCAACUUAGACUGUAGAUAUAGUAUAAAGUGCAUUCGGGAAAAUAUUCAGGACCACUUGACUUUUUCCACAUUUUGUUACGUUACUGUCACAUCCUGACUAUAGAAAGAUGUUAUUUUCUAUGGUAGAUUAGGUCAGGGCGUGACAGUUUUUUUUUCUAGUUUAGAUUUUCUAUGUUGUUAUGUUCUAGUUUUAGUAUUUCUAUAUUGGGUUUUGUUUGGGAUGAUCUCCAAUUAGAGGCAGAUGGUCAUCGUUGUCUCUAAUUGGAGAUCAUACUUAAAUAGGUGUUUUUCCCACCUGGGUUUGUGGGAGAUUGUAUUUUGAGUAUGUGUAUGUUAACUCUUCAUCACGGUUUGUUGUUUUUGUUAAUUCAGUUUAUUUUGUAUGUAUUGCAUAGUUUCACAGUUCAAUAAAAUAUGUGGAACAAUAAUCACGCUGCACUUUGGUCCGCGUCAUCCUACGACAACCGUGACAGUUACAGCUUUAUUCUAAAAUUGAUACAAUAAUUGUUUUCACCCAUAAUUACAAAGCGAAAACAGGUCUUAAGAAAUGAUUGCGAAUUAAUUACAAAUAAACAACAGAAAUACCUUAUUUACAUAAGUAUUCAGACCCUUUGCUAUGAGCCUAAGUGCAUCCUGUUUCCAUUGAUCAUCCUUGAGCUGUUUCUACAACUUGAUUGGACUCCACCUGUGGUAAAUUCAAUUGAAUGGACAUGAUUUGGAAAGGCACACACCUGUCUAUAUAAGGUCCCACAAUUGACAGUGCAUGUCAGAGCAAAAACCAAGCCAUGAGGUCAAAGGAAUUGUACGUAGAGCUCCGAGACAGGAUUGUGUCGAGGCACAGAUUCUGCACCAUCCCUACGGUGAAGCAUGGUGGUGGCAGCAUCAUGCUGUGGGGAUGUCUUUCAGCGGCAGGGACAGGGAGACUAGUCAGGAUCGAGGGAAAGAUGAACGGCGCAAACUACAGAGAGAUCAUUGACGAAAACCUGCUCCAGAGCGCUCAUGACCUCAGACUAGGGUGAAGGUUCACCUUCCAACAGGACAACGACACUAAUCACACAACCAAGACAACGCAGGAGUGGUCUCUGAAUGUGGCCUAGCCAAAGCCCAGACUUGAACCCGAUCGAACAUCUCUGGAGAGACCUGAAAAUAACUGUGCAGCACGCUCCCCAUCUAACCUGACAGAGCUUGAGAGGAUCUGCAUUGAAGAAUGGGAGAAACUCCCCAAAUACAGAUGUGCCAAGCUUGUAGCAUCAUACCCAAGAAGACUUGAGGCUGUAAUCGCUGCCAAAGGUGCUUCAACAAAGUACUGAGUAUAGGGUCUGAAUACUGUAAAAGUAAUAUUUCAGUUUUUAUUUUAUUUUUUGCAAAAAAUAUCUAAAAACUCAUUUUUGCUUUGUCAUUAUGGGGUAUUGUGUGUACGUUGAUGAGGGAAAAAAAACAAUUUAAUCCAUUUUAGAAUAAGACUGUAACGUACUGAAUACUUUCCGAAUGCACUGCAUAUCUCUCUUCUCCCUGCUUCUCUGAGAAACCUCUCCUCCCUCUAGCUCUCCCUCGAUCCUUCCCUCUCUCUCUCUUUCUUUCUCUCUCACCAGAGACAUACUGUACAUUAUUCUUCAGCCAGUGAACAUCACUAUAAAUACACCCAAUACCUUAGCAGCAGACAGGCGCUGAAGACAGGUGGGUCAGGGUGAGGAGGAGAGUUGGGGAGGGGUGAAAGAGAGGGUGGCUUGGCCAUGCCAGUGAAGAAUCACCCUGUGGUGGUAACGGUGUGGUAAAUAGUGGGUGUAGGGGGGUGUGAAGGAGAGCGUGGGUUGGCCAAGCCAUUGUGAAGAAUUACCCUGCGGGGGUGAAGGAGAGGUGGAAUCUGAAGAGCGGGGAGCAUUAACGCUUCCCUGCUGAGACUGGAGGGUGCGGAGAGAGGGAGGGAGGGAAGUAAAGAGAGAGAGAAUGAUGGUGUGAAAAGUGACCUCUGAGAGGAGGAGAGGGUGAGAGAUGGAGGGAGGGAGGAAAAGAAGUCCAGUGGGAGUUGAAAAGAGAGAGAGAGAGAGAGAGAGAGAGAGAGAGAGAGAGAGAGAGAGAGAGAGAGAGAGAGAGAGAGAGAUCCAGAUCACCUUCUCCGAGGGGAGCAGCUGUGAACAGUAUGCCCCAGGGAGGAAGGUCACAGUCAGAUGGUCCGCAGCUCACAGUCUAACUGUCUAAAGCCUGGAUUCACUUCUUUCUCAUUUGCCUCCCCUCCUUUCUCUCUGUCUCCCCUGUCUCCCUGUGCCUCCCCUGCCUUCCCCCUGCCUCCUUGGCUCAGGUCUGCAAUAACACAGCCAAUUAAGACUCUCCAGAGAGCCAGCAGCCUCAGUACAAUCUCACCUUCUCCUCUCCUUUAUCCCUGCUCGCUGACUAGGCAACCAGGGCCGUGUCAAAUCAAAUCAAAUCAAAUGUUAUGUGUCACAUACUCUGUAAACAACAGGUGUAGACUAACAGUGAAAUGCUUACAGGCCAUUUCCCAACAAUGCAGAGAGAAAGAAAAUAGAGAAAUAAUAGAAAAAUCAUAACAUGAGGAAUAAAUACACAAUGAGUAAUGAUUACCAGGCUAUAUACACAGGGUACCAGUACUGAGUAAUGAUAACCAGGAUAUAUACACAGGGUACCAGUACUGAGUAACGAUAACCAGGCUAUAUACACAGGGUACCAGUACUGAGUAACGAUAACCAGGCUAUAUACACAGGGUACCAGUACUGAGUAACGAUAACCAGGAUAUAUACACAGGGUACCAGGCUAUAUACACAGGGUACCAGUACUGAGUAACGAUAACCAGGCUAUAUACACAGGGUACCAGUACUGAGUAACGAUAACCAGGCUAUAUACACAGGGUACCAGUACUGAGUAACGAUAACCAGGCUAUAUACACAGGGUACCAGUACUGAGUAACGAUAACCAGGCUAUAUACACAGGGUACCAGUACUGAGUCAAUGAGUAAUGAUAACUUGACUAUAUAGAGAAAACAAAAGGGGGGAUACCUAGUCAGUUGUACAACUGAAUGCAUUCAACUGAAAUUUAACCCAACCCCUUUGAAUCAGAGAGGUGUGAGGG
rnacentral:lncRNA from 1 species